GAAGAUCUGUUAGGAUGAUUGGAAC
rnacentral:piRNA from 1 species